rnacentral:rRNA from 1 species
UGCCAGCCGCCGCGGUAAUACGGAGGGUGCGAGCGUUAAUCGGAAUUACUGGGCGUAAAGCGCGCGUAGGUGGUCUGUUAAGUCGGAUGUGAAAGCCCUGGGCUCAACCUGGGAACUGCAUUUAGAACUGGCAGGCUAGAGUACAAGAGAGGGUGGUGGAAUUUCCAAUGUAGCGGUGAAAUGCGUAGAUAUUGGAAGGAACAUCAGUGGCGAAGGCGGCCACCUGGAUUGAUACUGACGCUGAGGUGCGAAAGCGUGGGGAGCGAACGGGAUUAGAUA